UGAGCAAUCUGCCCUUCUCUUUGGAAUAAGCGUUGGAAACGACGUCUAAUGCCGAAUACGACCUCCUUUCGCAUGAUCGGAGGUGGAAAGCUCCGACGGUCAAGGAUGGGCUCGCGGCCUAUCAGCUUGUUGGUGAGGUAACGGCUCACCAAGGCUUCGACGGGUAGCCGGCCUGAGAGGGCGACCGGCCACACUGGGACUGAGAUACGGCCCAGACUCCGUACGGGAGCAGCAGG
rnacentral:rRNA from 1 species